rnacentral:rRNA from 1 species
UACGUAGGGUGCGAGCGUUGUCCGGAAUUAUUGGGCGUAAAGAGCUCGUAGGCGGUCCGUCGCGUCGAAUGUGAAAACCCGGGGCUCAACCCCGGGCUUGCAUUCGAUACGGGCGGACUAGAGUUCGGUAGGGGAGACCGGAAUUCCUGGUGUAGCGGUGAAAUGCGCAGAUACCAGGAGGAACACCGGUGGCGAAGGCGGGUCUCUGGGCCGAUACUGACGCUGAGGAGCGAAAGCGUGGGGAGCGAACAGG